GUACUCACUUGGGUAGCACAUAUACUAAAAUUGGAACAAUACAGAAAAGAUUAGCAUGGCCCCUGCGCAAGGGUGACAAGCAAAUUUGUGAAGUGUUCCAUAUUUUU
ensembl:snRNA U6 U6 spliceosomal RNA